CGUAGACUGCGCAGACGAAACAACCAUAACCAAAACCAACCAAACCAAACAUCGCAACUGUGCGGCACUUUUACCCCUUACUGAAGUUGUAGAACUAUUGUUUGGUGGCAUUUCCAUUUAUUUAUUUCUGUUUUUAGUGUGAGUCAUCAAGGAAACUUCAGAAAAUUGUUGCCAAGAUGAUGAACAAGAGAGCUAAGCGUGAAUUUCUUGAUAAAUUGCAUCGAGGGUUCGUCAAAACUAUGAUGGGCAUUACUUGUUUAGGCCUUGUUGGUAUUUCUUUUAAUCUCUACAUUAUGCUUCAAAAUGCAAAAGCAAAGGAAAAGCUUAUGCUAGCUGAGCUGGAUACAAAAGAGGAACUGGAUGAAUUUCCCUCAGUCAAUGUUAGUCGUGUUCCACGGACUUCUCCUUUUUAGUUAGGUAGUGAAGAAUAUGAUCUCAAGCUUAUGUAUACAUCUGAGGGAACUCGUGUCACAAUACUACUGUAAUAAUAAACCUAACUUUCAUGUUGCAAUGCAAUUUAGUGAGCUAAGUGUAUGACUCUUAUGUAGAAUAAUUGUUGAUAUGGGAAAUAAUUGUACAUAACAGUUUUAUGUCAAGUUCAACUAAGAAAUUAAAACAGUUCUGUAAUA